UCACCCCUCAAGCCCGGCUUGCUGUUGGUGCUGGCGUGGCUUUAGGCCUCGUCCCGCCCAAAGAUAAUGACGGCGUCUGUGAGGACCCCUGUACACUGAGCUCUUGGGCACGUACACGGUUGGGAGUCCAGGCGCCGGUCGAUGUCCGCAAGGACACUUUUUCUAA
rnacentral:misc_RNA from 1 species